rnacentral:rRNA from 1 species
UGAGGAAUAUUGGUCAAUGGGCGAGAGCCUGAACCAGCCAAGUAGCGUGCAGGAUGACGGCCCUAUGGGUUGUAAACUGCUUUUAUAUGGGAAUAAAGUGAGGGACGUGUCCCUUAUUGCAUGUACCAUAUGAAUAAGGACCGGCUAAUUCCGUGCCAGCAGCAGCGGUAAUACGGAAGGUCCAGGCGUUAUCCGGAUUUAUUGGGUUUAAAGGGAGCGUAGGCUGUUUGUUAAGCGUGUUGUGAAAUGUAAGAGCUCAACUUUUAGAUUGCAGCGCGAACUGGCAGACUUGAGUGCGCACAACGUAGGCGGAAUUCAUGGUGUAGCGGUGAAAUGCUUAGAUAUCAUGACGAACUCCGAUUGCGCAGGCAGCUUACUGUAGCAUAACUGACGCUGAUGCUCGAAAGUGCGGGUAUCAAACAGG